AUAAAUUAUUAAGAGCACUUGAUGGAUGCCUUGGCGUUAAGAGGCGAUGAAGGACGUGGCAGGCUGCGAUAAGCUGUGGGGAAUUGUCAACAAAUUUUGAUCCGCAGAUUUCCGAAUGGGGAAACCCAACUAGUUUAGCUAGUUAUUACGUACUAAGUAUGUAAAGCAAACUUGGUGAACUGAAAUAUCUAAGUAGCCAAAGGAAAAGAAAUCAACCGAGAUUCUGUUAGUAGUGACGAGCGAAAGCGGAAAAGGCUAGUGAUUUAAGAAUAAGAAUUAGAAUACUCUGGAAAUAGUAACCAUAGAAGGUGAUAGUCCUGUAUAAGUAGAAAGUUUUUAAAUCCUUGAGUAGAGCGGGGCACGUGAAAUCCUGUUUGAAUAUGGGGGGACCAUCCUCCAAGCCUAAAUACUCCUUAACGACCGAUAGUGAACAAGUACCGUGAGGGAAAGGUGAAAAGAACCCCGGGAGGGGAGUGAAAUAGAAUCUGAAAUCAAGUGCUUACAAACAGUUGGAGCUCUAUAUCAAUUUAUUGAUAUUUAGAGUGACAGCGUACCUUUUGCAUAAUGGGUCAGCGAGUUAAUCUAUGAAGCAAGCUUAAGCCGUUAGGUGUAGGCGUAGCGAAAGCAAGUCUGAAUAGGGCGUUUUAGUUUUAUGGAUUAGACCCGAAACCAAGUGAUCUAGUCAUGACCAGAUUGAAGGUGUGGUAAAACACACUGGAGGAUCGAACCAGUUAAUGUUGCAACAUUAUUGGAUGAGUUGUGAUUAGGGGUGAAAGGCCAAUCAAACUUGGAAAUAGCUGGUUCUCCGCGAAAUCUAUUUAGGUAGAGCGUUGUAUGUAUGUUGUUGGGGGUAGAGCACUGGAUAGACUAGGGGGAUUCACCGUCUUACCAAAUCUAACUAAACUCCGAAUACCAACAAUUAAUUAUACAGCAGGCACACUACGGGUGCUAAGUCCGUGGUGAAGAGGGAAACAACCCAGAUCACUAUCUAAGGUCCCAAAAUUACAGCUAAGUGGGGAAGGAAGUAGAAAAACCAUUACAGCUAGGAGGUUGGCUUGGAAGCAGCCAUCCUUUAAAGAAAGCGUAACAGCUCACUUGUCUAAAUAAGUUUUUCUGCACCGAAAAUGUACCGGGGCUAAAGCUGUAUACCGAAGAUGUGAGUGCUUAUUGAUUUCGAUCAAUAGGCGCGGUAGCGGAGCGUUCCGUAAGUCUGUGAAGGUGGUUUGUGAAAACUGCUGGAGAUAUCGGAAGUGAGAAUGCUGACAUAAGUAGCGUAAAAGAGUGUGAAAAGCACUCUCACCAAAAAUCUAAGGGUUCCUACGUUAAGUUAAUCUGCGUAGGGUUAGUCGGUUCCUAAGGCGAGUCCGUAAAGGAGUAGUCGAUGGCAAUUAGGUUAAUAUUCCUAAACCUCUUAAGUGUGACGGGUUUCGUAUUUGUAUAGAUCUUAUUGGAUUGAUCUAUGCUUAAAAGAAGCUCCAGGAAAUAGCACUUAUAUUUAUGAGGCCGUACCGCAAACCGACACUGGUGGAUGAGUAGAGUAUACUAAGGUGUUGAAAGAAUGAUGUUGAAGGAACUCGGCAAAUUAUACCUGUAACUUCGGAAGAAGGGUAACCUGCUUUUAGGCAACUAUGAGUAGGUGGCACAAAAUAGGGAGUAGCGACUGUUUACUAAAAACACAGGACUCUGCAAACACGUAAGUGGAAGUAUAGGGUCUGACGCCUGCCCGGUGCUGGAAGGUUAAUAGGAAGGGUGCAAGCUCCGAAUUGAAGCCCCAGUAAACGGCGGCCGUAACACUGACGGUCCUAAGGUAGCGAAAUUCCUUGUCGGGUAAGUUCCGACCUGCACGAAUGGCGUAACGACUUCCCCGCUGUCUCCAACGCAGACUCAGUGAAAUUGAAUUCCCCGUGAAGAUGCGGGGUUCCUGCGGUUAGACGGAAAGACCCCGUGCACCUUUACUAUAGCUUUACACUGGCAUUCGUGUCGACAUGUGUAGGAUAGGUGGUAGACUUUGAAGCAGUGGCGCCAGCCAUUGUGGAGUCAUCCUUGAAAUACCACCCUUAUCUAUAUGGAUGUCUAACUGCGGCCCGUUAUCCGGGUCCAGGACCGUGUAUGGUGGGUAGUUUGACUGG
rnacentral:rRNA from 1 species